UGGGGAGGAAAGAACAGAGAGUAGCGGGGCUGGAGUUGGGGAACUCUUCAGGCACCUCACAGUGAUUGGUGAUGUGGCGCAGAUCCCUUGGGGUGGAAAAGCUGAUAGUCCCAGGACAUCAUCUGCAAAUGGACAGAGCAUCGUCUCCUGACAGUAGUGAUGCUGUAGGAGUCAGUACCUUGCCAUUUGGGUACCACAGGAAGGAAGGCCCUGGGAAAUGCUGGUGACUUCCUUUAGCUUUAACUCCUAUGCAGUCUCACUGUACUUUUGUUUCUUCCUGGAACAGAGAAAAAAAGAGGAUUUAGAAGAAACAGAUUUCCAGAGGAAGAACUGGGACAGAACAAACCAUGGCGAGACUGGAUCUUGGUGUAGCACUGCCAGAAAGCCUCGGGCUUGCAGUUCCUCUUCCUCUGCUGCUUCUGUAAGGAAAAUGCUGGAAGAAAAUAACCCAACAAACGAGACAUUUGGAAGCAUGUGAAGCUUUUUCUCAGAUAAGAAUGUUGGAUAUUCCUGUAGUCCAGGUAGUUUUGACCAUCAUUCUUAUGACUCUGGUGUAACCUCUGAGGAUGGUGAAGACACACCACAGCAGACUGACCCGAAAAUAUCAUGUACCUGGUUUACGUAGCAUGAUCAGCUUCACAGAGCUGCGAUUCCUCUAAGAACAAAGUGCCUUUUGAGGAAUUAUCUAGAUCAGACCUGCAAGUAGGCAUGAUUUUGGGAGAGUUGACUUGAUUAUUAAUUGAUGCAGAGGAACCAACAGACUAUGGGCAAUACCAUACCUACACAGGUGCCUGGGAUGUGUGGGAGCACUGGGAGUAAGCUGGAGAAGAAGCCAGCAAACAGCAUUUCGCCAUGGUCCCUGCCUCUAGGUUCCUGCCUUGAGUUCCUACCCUGACUUCCCUCAGUAAUAGAUUGUGUCUUAGUUAAGGUUUUUACUGCUGUGAACAGCACGACCCGGGCAAUUCUUAUAAAGACAACAUGUAAUUGGGGCUGGUUUACAGGUUCAGAGGUUCAGUCCAGUAACAUCAAGGUGGAAGCAGGGCAGCAUCCAGGCAGGCAUGGUGCAGGCAGAGCUCAGAGUUCUUCAUCUGAAGGCAACUAGUGGAAGACUCACAUCCAGGCAGCUAGGAGCAGGGUAUUAAACGCACAGUGACAGAACUACAAGGCCACACCACCUAAUAUUUCUACUCCCUCGUCCAAGCAUAUACAGACCAUCACAGGUUGUAAUCUGAAGGUGUAAGGAAAAUAAAUCCUUUCUUCCCCAAGUUGCCUUCGGUCAUUGUGUUUUAUCUCAGCAAUAGAAGAAAACUGAAACAGCACCUCAGUGAAAUUUCUUCUGCCAUUAAAAAUACAUUAGCGGAGGAUACAGUGAUGGCAUGCCAGUUAGGAAUACUUGCUUGCUCUCAUAGAGAACCUAGCUUUGGUUCCUAGCACCAAGAGAGUGGCCCACUGGCUGUAAUUCCAGUUUCAGAGAAUGUAACACCCUUGUCUCCUCAGUUACUGUGUGUGUGUAGUGCUCAAGCAGAUGAGAGGCGCACACACAUAUACAUAAACAUGCAAAAUACUUUUUUGACUGGGCGUAAUGUUUUAUAUCUGUAGUUCUAGCACUUUGGAAGACAGAGGACUGCUACAACUUGAAGCCAGUCUCAGGCUAGACUAAUAGAAUCAAUCUCUCUCUCUCUCUCUCUCUCUCUCUCUCUCUCUCUCUCUCUCUCUCUCCCUCCCUCCCUCCUUCCCCUCCCCCCUUUCCUUCUCUCACUCCCUGUUGCCUAUAGAUCCAGAUGUAGAGCUCUCAGCUACUUCUCCAGCACUAUGUCUGCCUGCAUGCUGCUGUGCUUUUCUCCCGGUUAACUGGAUAAAGCCCAGGAAACUAAUCAAGCCCCACUUAAAGCCUGUCUGUAUCAGAACUGCCAUUGUCAUGGUGUCUCUUCAAAGCAAUAGAACAUUGACUACAAUAAACGCUUUUAAAAUUA